rnacentral:rRNA from 1 species
UACGAAGGGGGGCUAGCGUUGCUCGGAAUCACUGGGUGUAAAGCGCACGUAGGCGGCUUUCUAAGUCAGGGGUGAAAUCCUGGAGCUCAACUCCAGAACUGCCUUUGAUACUGGGAAGCUCGAGUCCGGAAGAGGUGAGUGGAACUGCGAGUGUAGAGGUGAAAUUCGUAGAUAUUCGCAAGAACACCAGUGGCGAAGGCGGCUCACUGGUCCGGUACUGACGCUGAGGUGCGAAAGCGUGGGGAGCGAACAGG